rnacentral:rRNA from 1 species
UACGUAGGCAGCGAGCGUUUGUUCGGAAUUACUGGGCGUAAAGAGUGUGUAGGCGGUGCUCUAAGUUCGGUGUGAAAUCUCCCGGCUUAACUGGGAGGGUGCGCCGGAAACUGGAGUGCUCGAGCGUGGGAGAGGAAAGCGGAAUUCCUGGUGUAGCGGUGAAAUGCGUAGAUAUCAGGAGGAACACCUGCGGUGUAGACGGCUUUCUGGACCAUUGCUGACGCUGAGACACGAAAGCGUGGGUAGCAAACAGAUG